CGGGCGGUAGACUCCGUCCAAGGCUAAAUACAGGCGAGAGACCGAUAGCGAACAAGUACCGCGAGGGAAAGAUGAAAAGGACUUUGAAAAGAGAGUCAAAGAGUGCUUGAAAUUGCCGGGAGGGAAGCGGAGCGGGGCCGGCGAUGCGCCCCGGCCGUAUGCGGAACGGCUCUUGCUGGUCCGCCGCUCGGCUCGGGGUGUGGACUGUUGUCGGCCGCGUCGGCGGCCAAAGCCCGGGGGCCCUAGGUGCC
rnacentral:ncRNA from 1 species